GUUUUUCCAGUCUAAGUAGAUGGAAGUAGGGCACUGAGGCGGGGUGUCAGAGUUCCUUAAAGGCAUCACUGCACAUCUGUACUGUGCAGCAGCGGACGCACCACUAACAGGAACCAGAUUCACUUCAUCUAAAGAUUCCUGAAGCCACGUGACUCAGAUGUGACCACACAUAGGCGGACGACAAGCGUUUUAUACCACUGAGCAGUCAGGCAGUGACUGCUGCAUCAUCCUGUGAAGUCUCGUGACGACGGACCAAUAUGAGUACAUCACAGUGCACACAUAAUCUGCGAGUUAUCCACCAGUUGCUUAACUGUGAGUGCUGUCAUACGCUGAUCAAAAGUGAGGACUGUCUCUCUCCGUGUCUUUGGACAGGCUCUGCAGCAGGGAGCUCUGGAAGGCCUCGUCACACGACUCAGGGAUCAGAAACUCCAGCAGCAGGUCACAGAUGCAGUAGAUCAGAUGCCUGCACAUCAUCACACAAAUGACAGACUGACUUCAAUUGUCAUUAAUGAAGAUGCUUGUAUGGAUCAUAUCAACAAUGAAAAUGAUUAAACACA